CAUGCAAGUCGAACGAGAAUCUGUGGAAAGAGGAUUCGUCCAAUUGAAGCAGAGGACAGUGGCGGACGGGUGAGUAACGCGUGAGGAACCUGCCUUUCAGAGGGGGACAACAGUUGGAAACGACUGCUAAUACCGCAUAACAUAUAGAUGUCGCAUGGCAUUUAUAUCAAAGAUUUAUCGCUGAAAGAUGGCCUCGCGUCUGAUUAGCUAGUUGGUGAGGUAACGGCCCACCAAGGCGACGAUCAGUAGCCGGACUGAGAGGUUGAACGGCCACAUUGGGACUGAGAUACGGCCCAGACUCCUACGGGAGGCAGCAGUGGGGAAUAUUGGGCAAUGGGCGCAAGCCUGACCCAGCAACGCCGCGUGAAGGAAGAAGGCUUUCGGGUUGUAAACUUCUUUUGUCAGGGACGAGUAGAAGACGGUACCUGACGAAUAAGCCACGGCUAACUACGUGCCAGCAGCCGCGGUAAUACGUAGGUGGCAAGCGUUGUCCGGAUUUACUGGGUGUAA
rnacentral:rRNA from 1 species